rnacentral:lncRNA from 1 species
UUGAUAUUUACUACCGAGUUUAAAUGGCAUGCAAAGCAUGCAGUGCAGGCAACGAAGGGAAGGAUAGAUAGAGAGGAAAAAAAAAGAGAAUGUAUAUAUUUACAUAAGUAUAAACAUAGAGAGAUAAAUUAGAAAAAAAUUAGGGUGGAAGAAAUACAUUGAAUUAGAAGUGAUCAAGGAGCUUGCUUAAGUAGUUGGAGCCUAGCUAUUACAGUAGUAACGUGGAUCUUCGUUUUAGCUUUGGAAUCGAGAUAUUGGUGAGGAAUAUUGCUUGCUUGGCUUGGAGACCAAGUAGGGGGAUCUUCACUUACCCUAGUUAUGAAAUUUUGUGAAUGUAUGUAUAUGUAAAUAUACGAAUGCCUGUGAAAGUUGCAUAUAUUUUGCUAUGAUAGAACCAUGAGGAAAAAUGGUUUGUUUUAUAUCAUGAUAUGCAUGUUGUUUUAUGCUACAAAUUAAUUGAUGACUUGAGAGUGAAAGGGGCAUAGCGACUGCCUUGGGUUUCGAUCCCCUAAACCUCCGGAGGGGUUACUACGAAGGGAUUAGUACCACUACCUUUCUAGGAGAGGUACUUGGAUAUCUAAGGGUAGAGUAUUAAGGGACACUCUCGUUACACCUUACCAUAAGAAUAUUCGUUCGGAGUUGGUCCAGGUAAGGGGGUAGUUGGUCAUUGGACCAGUCAUCAGGCAUGUAGCGAUUUAUAGGGAUCCCUGUUUUCUUUUUAAAAGGAAAUUGUGUGAGCAUACAAUCUAUUUUUGAAACUAAAGCUUUUGUUGUGCAUCAAACAUUUUUCUAUAGUAUAUAUAGUGUUGUGUACUAUUUUCAAACCUAGCUGGGGUGGAUUCCCUGAGGGGGAGCGAUGAACGUUUGUGAUGCUCUCCCCUACUUUAUUACAAGACCGGUGCACCUACAAAUAGAUGAUCUGGACUAAAGUCGGGACAAGCGUUGUUUGUUACUUGUCAACUUCUUAAUCACUCAUUGACUUUCAACAGGUUUUUGUUUGUACAUAUGCUUGAUUCCCCUCCGUCUUGAAGGAAUCUUUUGUAACUAAACUUAGCACUUUGUACUCCCCAAAUCGUACCUAAGAGUUUGUUUAGUAUGUUUACUUACUCUAAACUUUUUGGUUUUGUUGUAAGUUGUAAACUUCGUCUUUGAUGUAAAAAUUUAUCCAAAUUCCGUUGCCAUUUCAUUCUUCGUUUUACCAAAAUGAUUUCCGCUUUUGUUCUGUUUAAAAAUAAAUUAUUUUACUUCCCCUUAAAUAGCCUUAUGUCCUAUUGGGAAUGUAGUGCUACAUUGUUGGAAUUUAACACUAUAGUAUUGCGUUGCUAAUAGGGUGUAGCAUUGUUAUGUGCCCGUUUUUGGGGCGUGACAUCAAGCUUCAAUCAUCCUCUAUAUUCACCAAUCUUUCAACUUUUAAAGAGUUUUAGUUUCCUAAAAAUCCUCAAUAUCUCAUCAAUGGGUGAUAGAAGAAUGCAUAGCUAUUGCAACAUCUUCCUCACAGGUCCAAUUACGACCUCUAAUAUGCUCUUUUGCCAUGUUGAACAAUUUGGAAAUGGAAAGAAAUGGUAGAAAGAUAAAUUGGAAGAAUUGUAGGAGAAAAUUGAGUUUUGUGUGGAUGUUUGAACAAAUACAUAGGUAUUUAGAGAGUUUUUGGGUGAAUUUUGAGUUAAAUAAAAUUUUUUAAAUUAUUUUAGCCGUUGGAUUUAAAUUUGGGCUGUUAGAUUUGAUUAUAUUCAAUCUCAGCCGUUGGAUUCAAUGUGUUUUAAAAUAACAUAUUCUAAAAAAAUUAAAUUUGAAUCUGGACCGUUGGAUCAACCAAUGGUCCUUAAAGCCCAGCCUUUGGAUUAGAAUUAUAGCCGUUGGGAUGAUGAUGUUGGCCGACACACAGCUGACAGCGGGGCCCAUCCCUGUCGGGAAAGCCUUGCUAGCCAACCGCGUGGGGCGCAUUGGAGUGUGGGUAGGCUGAGACUGGCCCAAGUGCUAGCGAGUCCACUCGCAUGGGGAAGGGGGGGGGAAGAAUUUGGGGGGAUAUUUGGCCCAGCUUUGGCAUCUGGCUUUUAGCCCAAUGUUUUAGCAUGGGUUGGGUGGUGUUUGGGAGGGUGGGGGAAUAAAUGGGGAAAUAUGACUUUUAGCCCACCAUUGGAGUUGGUCGAAGCAGCAAAUCUCCACGAAACGAUAGAUUGAUCUCAUACUCUAAUUCAUGACUUGUUCGUACCAUGUAAGUAAACAUGCCGAGUAAUAUAUAGUAGUUGAACCUGAUGUGGUUGGACGUAGUAUGAUCCAAGAACAAUGAAGCAAUUUUACAAUUCAAUUCAGCAAUUUUCCUACUCUUCAGAGAAUACCACAUCCUCCGGCCAAAACCCAAAAAAAAAAGAAAUAUAUAUUUUAUAUAAUUAUAUUUCAGGUUAGGAUCGAGGGAUACCCAUUUUUUGACAUGUAAAAAGCCUUGAAGAGAAGACCCGAUAAACGCUGCGACUUAUGAACAAGAAGCACUCUAGAGAAGUGGGCAUGAGGUAACAUAUGCUGUAUUACUACUAAUCUAUAUGAACGCUGCAGCUUUCUUUUACACUUGUUUUCUUCCUUUUGAUUAUCCAAUUUUUCUCAACACUUUGCUCGGGAUUUCACGACGGAACGUUGAAGUGAAAGAGCCAUGAUAUGACAAAAGCAAAUACCAUGCAGGCAAGGAGGAAGUUGAGGAAGCGGUGACCGUGCCAGAAACUUUGAGUCUCUGUGGACGGCCCUGGGGCGGCAACUGAAGCUGUUGCUGAGGCGGCACUGGAUUCGUUCGACUGCUCUGUGAACUCGAUGUCAUUUGGCCCAAUGACGUUGCGUGCAACUGCCUGGCAUAUCUCACAGGUCCUGGAAAGUGGAAAACAAAUUAAACUCUGAAACCUACAAUCAAGAAUCAAAGGGCAAAAUCUAGUUCUACUUUUUAGCGAGACAAAUUGGCCAAAAGAACGACCCAUUUUUUGCUACCAACGUCGGCAGGCCGCGAAGUUAACACCCCCACUCAACAGUCGUGAAAUUUCUGUGAGAGAUAAAAGUUUCAAGACUAAAAGGUAGGAGUGUAACAACUGACAAGACGCACAACAUAUGUGAGAUCAUAUUGCACAGCUUUUACAAAUAAACAAUAAAAUUUCAUAAAAUCUCAUCAGAUUCAAACAUCGAAAUCAUCAGGUUUCAUAUGAAGUAUCUGCACCAUGUAUUUGUUAAGGAUUUGGAUAUCAAUGUCUGGCUCUAAGGAAUCUCUGAGCAUCACCAGGACAUGUGCACAUUGCAAUAACGAGAUUUAACACAAUGGCUGCCAGAUGGGAUUAAAAGUGGCAAUGCCACCACACAUCUUACUGUCAGCAUCUAUUCUGGCAUUGCUACACAUAUAUAAUCGAGAGAUUCUCUCAAGAAACCAAGUUUUAGUCCCAGUGGCUUCACCGUCCAAUACAUGAUUGUGUUGUUUGUUCAAAAAGUGCACGACUCAUCCAAUGAACGAUUGUCAUAUGGGGAAAUAGUGACAUGUGAGAAUCUCUUCGUAUAAACUCUCAUGAUGAACGACACAUGGCAAUCCGUCAAAAGAUCGAUUACUUUGAGUUCGAAACAUUAGACCAAUAAUUCUCCAUCUAUCAUACUCAAAAUAUGCAUACGAAAAGUGAUUUGUCACUAAGCAUGGUGGAUGAAUAGGAAAUGUGGAUAUACACAUAGGAAAUCAUCAAUUAUUUAGUGCUUAGGCAGACAACCCUAAAGAUUAAUAAAUCUAAUGGAAAUAUCAAUAAGAUGUCAUAUUCCUACUUUCAUAAGACCAUCUCCAACACAUGGGAUAAAGCUUCAAAUAUAAGCUUUAAACCCCCCCCAAACCAUCUUCAACCAUGGGCUAAAAAAUAUAUCUCUGGGCUAGAUUUCCCCCAGGAUUUAAACCUAACUUAAAUUAUUCUGAACCCACAAAACUGUCAUAUUUCAAACCAUUUUUUGUUUUUUACUUAUAAUCUAACAGCUAUGAUCAAAUGAGGCCAAAUCUAAUAGUAAAAAAAAAAUUCGACGGUUCAAAAUUAAAUCUAACGUCUAAAAUAAUUUAAAUCAAAUUUAACUUAAAACUUUAUAAAUACCUGUGUAUUUAUAUCAUUUUUAAUUACUAAUUGGAAUUUAAAUAUGUUUGGACUAAAAUGUUCAUAAAAAUAAAUUAAGAUAAUCUACAUAAA